rnacentral:misc_RNA from 1 species
UUUCCGUAGGUGAACCUGCGGAAGGAUCAUUAUUGAAACUUGAAUCGUAGCAUCGAGAACUGUUGCUGACCUGUUAAAAGGUAUGUGCACGUUCGACGUGUUGCGUUCUAUUCAUCCACCUGUGCACCUUUGUAGACUUGAUUAACUUUCGCUCUCGAGCGGUUAGAAGGGUUGCUUUCGAGCUCCCUUUGUCUAUCGAGUCUAUGUCUAUAUAAUCUCUUGUAUGUCUAGAAUGUCUUGUUUAUGGGACGCAAGUCCUUUAAAUCUUAUACAACUUUCAACAACGGAUCUCUUGGCUCUC